GACGAACGCUGGCGGCGUGCUUAACACAUGCAAGUCGAACGGAAAGGCCCUGCUCUUGUGGGGUGCUCGAGUGGCGAACGGGUGAGUAACACGUGAGUAACCUGCCCUUGACUUUGGGAUAACUUCAGGAAACUGGGGCUAAUAUCGGAUAGGAGCUCCUGCUGCAUGGUGGGGGUUGGAAAGUUUCGGCGGUUGGGGAUGGACUCGCUGCUUACCCGCUUGUUGGUGGGGUAGUGGCUUACCAAGGCUUUGACGGGUAGCCGGCCUGAGAGGGUGACCGGCCACAUUGGGACUGAGAUACGGCCCAGACUCCUACGGGAGGCAGCAGUGGGGAAUAUUGCACAAUGGGCGGAAGCCUGAUGCAGCAACGCCGCGUGCGGGAUGACGGCCUUCGGGUUGUAAACCGCUUUCGCCUGUGACGAGGCGUGAGUGACGGUAAUGGGUAAAGAAGCACCGGCUAACUACGUG
rnacentral:rRNA from 1 species